AGAGAGAGAGAAAGAAAGAAAGACCAAACAAAUAUGAUGUAAAUGUUACUAUCAAAGUUACUUUACCUCUUUAAAAGGUGGAAAUCCUCCUUCUUCUGGGAUUUCUCUGCAACAAUCUGAAGACCAAAGUGCCUUCAAUAUUCUGCAUGGAAUGACUUCCACCAGAUUUGGAGAGAAGUUCAUAAAUCAACAGCAACCUCUUAACUGCAACAUUUUCACAGGUCCAGUGGCACUCUAAGCAAACAGCAGUUGAAAAGCAAAGACCGAGUGAUGUCUCUCCAAAGCAGUGUUCUGCCUGCAGCCUUGGUGGAAGAGCUAUUUGCUGGCCAUCCUUUGAAGAAGGACACAAGGCUGUUUUCUUAUACUUCUGUGUGUGAAGAUGCAAGCUCCCACACAAAGAAACCCACAAACCACAGUAACCUCUUGGAUAGGGGAAAAAAAAAGCCUCCAGUUGUUAUGUCCAUUUUUGGAAAGUGUGUAUGAACUACUCAUAAUCUGAGUUCAUCCAAAACUAUUUUAGAAGCCUAGCUGUCAGCAAUUUUGUCUCAGCAAUAUUUCCCUUCUGCACUAAAAGUCACCAAACAAGAGCACUGUGGCACUAAGCUUUCAAAGA